rnacentral:rRNA from 1 species
GAAACGGAAAGAGCCCAAACCAAGAAGCUUGCUUCUUGGGGUUGUAGGACACUCUAUACGGAGUUACAAAAGAAAGUUAUAAAUGAAGCGGUCUGGAAAGGCCCGCCAAAGACGGUAACAGCCCGGUAGUUGAAAUGGCUUUCCCUCCAGAGUGGAUCCUGAGUACGGCGGAACACGUGAAAUUCCGUCGGAAUCCGGGAGGACCAUCUCCCAAGGCUAAAUACUCCCUAGUGACCGAUAGUGAACCAGUACCGUGAGGGAAAGGUGAAAAGC